rnacentral:tRNA from 1 species
GGGCCGUUAGCUCAGUUGGCAGAGCAGCGGGCUUUUAACCCGACGGUCGCAGGUUCGAGCCCUGCACGGCCCA